GGAAGCAGCGAAGAAAAUGACAAAGACUCUAAAGACUCAGAAGAUAGUUCCAGUUCCAAGGAAUCAAAAGAAUCAGAAGAAGAUGACCACAAAGAUUCUGAUUCUAAUGACUCAGAAGGCAAUAAAAGCUCCUCUGAAUCAAAAGAUCACACUGAAGAAGAUGAGGACCAAUCAAAAAAAGAAUCUAACGAUACAGAAGAAAACAGUGAAUCCUCAGAAUCAACAG